UACGUAGGUGGCGAGCGUUAUCCGGAUUUAUUGGGUUUAAAGGGAGCGUAGGCGGCUGAUUAAGUCAGCGGUGAAAGGUAGCAGCUUAACUGUUUUACAUGCCGUUGAUACUGGUUAGCUUGAGUUGACAGAAGGCAGAUAGAAUUCCUGGUGUAGCGGUGAAAUGCUUAGAUACCAGGAGGAAUACCGAUUGCGAAGGC
rnacentral:rRNA from 1 species